AACGAACGCUGGCGGCAUGCCUAACACAUGCAAGUCGAACGAGACCUUCGGGUCUAGUGGCGCACGGGUGCGUAACGCGUGGGAAUCUGCCCUGGGGUGCGGAAUAACUCGGAGAAAUCCGUGCUAAUACCGCAUAACGUCUUCGGACCAAAGAUUUAUCGCCCUGGGAUGAGCCCGCGUAGGAUUAGCUAGUUGGUGGGGUAAAAGGCCUUCCAAGGCGACGAUCCUUAGCUGGUCUGAGAGGAUGAUCAGCCACACUGGGACUGAGACACGGCCCAGACUCCUACGGGAGGCAGCAGUGGGGAAUAUUGGACAAUGGGCGAAAGCCUGAUCCAGCAAUGCCGCGUGAGUGAUGAAGGCCCUAGGGUUGUAAAGCUCUUUUACCCGGGAUGAUAAUGACAGUACCGGGAGAAUAAGCUCCGGCUAACUCCGUGCCAGCAGCCGCGGUAAU
rnacentral:rRNA from 1 species